UCCUACAGAUUUAGACUUUUCGCCUUUGGCAUAUAACAAGCCAAAAUGUAGUCAAUAUGUACAUUCUGUGAAGAAAUUUGGAUCCUAGAGAUCUUGCAGUUUAGAGCAGAACAAAGGGAAAGCAGAACUCAGGCCCUGGGGAAGCCAUGUGGGCAGUCAUCCCAUUGUGACAGACACAAUGGCAGUCUUGACACUAAUGAUGAUGAAAACAGAGUUUGGAGUAGGGGACAGGAGGCCAGUUGUCUCUCAAAUAGUCAUGUGGACCUAUCCUGAGGUAGUAGCCAUUGAUGUUAGUGGCAAGACAGAAGAUUCAGUAUCUAAACAAAACUGUUAUACUUGGCUAUGAAGAUAGCUGAAAUACUGAAGGAGGAAUUUACUUUUCUUCUUUCUCAGUUGGGAAUUGAUUUUGGGAAUUGUCGGUUAACUCUAGGCUAUUGAAUUAAAUCCAGAAGUCACAUGUAUGUUUCUCAGCACACAAAGAGACUGACUACUGAGGUUUCACGCCAUCUCUGGACUCAGAGAGUACAAUGGUAGAGAGGAGUUUAAAUUUUUUCCCAUUUUGUAGGCGAAUUGUGGCCUCCUACAGAGAAAAGAGCACCUGCUUUUUCUGCUCCUGAAUCGGUUCCUGAUUUCAAAACGUGGCUCUGACACUUAAAAAUUGUAUUUUCCUAGAUAAGCCAUGUAUCCUUUUUCAGAUUCCUUGUCUUCACCUAUAAAAGUGGAAGAAUAAUGGCAAAUGCUAUGUGAGGAUUAAUAACAUCAGAAGUAUCAAGGUAAAUGGGAUUGAAAUAUAACAAAUUCAGCAAAGGAUACACAUCCUAAGUGUGCAGCACUUUGAGGACACAAAUCUUUUCAAGAGUGGUGACACCGAGCCCUGAGGAAAGAGUGGAGCAUGUACUUAAUCAAUUGGAACAUCUAAGUUUUGGAGCCCCAUCUAACAUACACUAAACCUCCUCCGUAUCUACACUCUUGGUAAUUGAGACUUUGUGGUUGCUCAUUUGAAGAGAUCGACUCUAAUUCCCUAGACUUGACUCUGGACUGGCUUUAUGAUUCUCUUUAACCAGAGAAUGUGAGAGAAGUGAUGAUGUGCCUGUUCUAAGCCUAGGCCUCAAGAAGUUUUGGAAGAUUCUGUUCCCUCCUGCUUAGCCCCACUGGAGGAUGAGAGCCCCAUGGCCCAGUCACCUCCAUUGCCUCGGCCAAUAGCCAGUCAACUUCCAGACUCACCAUGGCCUAGAUUACCUCAGGGACUACAGACACAUGAUGGUGCCCAGCCAAGACAAAAGAAACAUCCAGCUGAGUCCAGCCUAGAUUGCUGGUCUGCGGAAUCAAACAAGACUUAUACCUGACCUAAAGCUGGAAGUCUAGUCUGGCCCAGAGAAGCCCAGCUAACUCCUUCUGAAAAAAGCUUACCUGCAGAUCGGUGAGCAUGACUUAAAUGCCUGUUGUUGUAAGCCGCUGUGAUUUUUGCUUUGCUGUUAGGUAGCUUUAACACAGCAAAAGCUGACUGAUACAUCAUAUAGGAAUCCAUGUCUAUCACCUUUUCCAUUCUGGCAAGCUGUAUUGAACAGUGCCGCAGAAAACCUCAGAGUGUUCAUUAAUUUCCUUUCCCUAAAAUCCUAGGCCACCCGUUAAGCAGUAAGCUCCUCAUGUGUUGUUUUCAUACUGCUUUUAGAAAAUCAGUCAAAAGGGUUUUCUAUGCUGAAGGCACUCUAGUCCUAAGGAAAAUGACAAAUCAUGAUAUUCUAAGUGGUUCUCUACAUCAAAUGGCUUAUAACUCCAAAAACGAAAAUAAGCAAAACAAGCAGCUCUCUUCUCUCACUUAAGAGCGAACCACAAUUUCACAGUAUCUAGGGACAAAGGGAAGGGAAGGAAGUUGGCCAUCUUUUUCCUGGAAUCCAGGGGAACGUUCGUCUUUCCUUGUUCUAUUUCUCUGCUAGAUGCUGAUUUCAAGGCCCUUUCAAAAGGAGUUGGAGGGCAGGUAGGAAGAAUUGAGGACUCACGUCCUGGAUUUGAACAUCAGUAAGAGAGGCGACUAUUAAAUUCCCUCAUGAGUUCCAUAAUAUUAACUGCACUUCACUUUUACCCUUAGGCAAAAUUUCAUUGUGUGCAAUGCAAAUAUUUGCAAAAUCUGUGUUGGUUUGUGGUUAAUUAUGGUAGAAACCAAACAAAACCCACAAAAAUCAAACAAACAUAAAACCCCAGUAUACCUCAUCUCCCAAUUUCACCUGUUAAUCACCAUUAUUUAAUCAAUACCAGUUUUCUGCAGGCACUCUUCUCAUCAAGAUCAUUGAUAUCAAGUUAUAGCCAAAGAGAAAUGCUUAUUACCCCUAAAAUUCCAUUGUGUGAGAACUGUUCUUUAAAUAAGAUUUUUUUGGGUUUAGUAUUAGAAAAAGAAAAGCAAAGAUAUUGGGAAUUUAUAAUUGUCUUAAAUGGAUACCUUCCCUGAGUCCAGUAUUAUGGCCUCACUACCCCCUAGAGUUAUCAAAUCAUGCUUGGGGAAAAUAUAAAGAACUGUUGAUAUAAAAGAAGCUCCAAAAUUCAGUGGUGCCGUUAACAUUAUAGAUAGAAAAUUGGUUUGUUGGGUGAAUGGCAUGCCUUAGAGAUGACAGCUCGUAUAUUCCCCUUCGCGAGGUGGUUGGGAAAUAGGAUGUCUGUUAUGUCAUACUACCCUCACCUGCAGCAGCAAAGGUCUGAACUUUGUUCAGCUGGAUAUAUUUAAGGUAAUUAAAAUGUAACAGAUACGAAAGUGGUUCUGCCUCAUCCAUUUAAAGUUUCCAACAUUACUACUUUGCAUGGUACACUUAAAGCCAGGUCUGUUUUGUGUCAGUGCUAAAUGAAAAUGGAAAAAUAAAGCCGGAGAAGAUGCUAAAGUUCACUGAUGCAGUAAAAAGUGAAAAGGAAAGCAAAACGACGUUCCAUUUUCUGAAAGGCUACCAGCCCUGCCUUUGAUGUUGAGAUUGUUCAAUUACCACGGAACGUGAAAGAUGUUCUGUAAUCAUUAAAUUGUCAUUUCCCCCCGAUCCUGAAUAUUGUGGUGCAUUUCCUGUCUUAGUGAAGCAAGAUAAAUUAGGUUCAGGAAUCUGCCUGGAAAGGGCACUUUUCAUUCCAUGUAACUCUGACCUUUUUUCCUUUCUAAUGAAUACAGUCUUAAAGUCCUUUUUACCAACCGAUGUGUCCCUGUCUCAGAAUGGCAUUCUCAUUUUUAUAUCUUUGUUUUAAUCCCCUCUAAGGCAUCAUCUUUUCUUUAGUAUUUAAGUAUAGUUGGAUGCUAUUUCACGCUGCAUUUAAGGUGAUGGAGACUCUUCAGCAGGAUAUGCUUGUUUGAGAUGAGAGGAAGUAAUACAAAAAUCAUCAGUUAUUUUAAAGCACCCACUUUGUUGUAUGUAUGAUAUAUAGAGAGCAGAAAGAAAAGUGGACUUGGUAAUGGUUAUUGGUUGGCUCUCAGAUUCUUCUUGCCUGUUAAAACAAUAUGCCAAGAACAAGUCCCGGGACUGUUAGCCUUGCUCCAAACAUUUCUGUGAACAUUUCUGUUAAACACAGGCAGAUGAGGAUCAGCGAGGUAGCCUAGUCUGGAGGACCCAGUUCUGCUGUGUGAGGCCCACAUGCUAAUUCUGGUUCCAUCUGGUUUAAUCCAACUCUCUGGGUGUACAUUACUUGAUCACAUAACACUCACCGUCAAAUUUGUUCACAGUUAUUUCCCAUCGAAGUGGUGAAUGUCUUGACCUGCUGGAUUCUCUAUGUAGAUUUCUCCCUUGUCUUUGGAUGGUCUCCUGUGCCCAUCUGCAGGUUAAGUUCCACUCAAGAGCUAGAACAAGUCUUGUUCUUAUGGUUUCAGGACCGUGGAAGAAGUAGUGCUAAUGCAACCAUGUUGCUCAUUCCUAGAAAGUGAGCUUCUCUAUUGCUUUGGAGAUCCAGACUAAAUUUUUGUCCCAUUUUCCAUGCGUUUCUCUGUCAGACCCACUUAUACAUGAGUCCUUGUCUUGACAAAUGCUUAGAACGAGUCUUGGGCUUCACAAUUGCCCAAGAGUGCUGCUAUUAUUAUUGUUCACAAUAAUUAUUAAUAAUAAAAAUAGCAGCUACUUAUUAAUGGAUGAAUGCUUACUACAGGUACCUAAUACUAAGCACUUUAAAUUUCCCAAUUCUUUCCAAAGUUGAGACAAACAUUUUCUUAUUAAAAGUUAUGUAGUUGUUUUAAUAUGCAUUAGAAAUGUUUUUAUUUUAAAAAGUUGCAAAUGCAUUUUCAUUGGACUAGAAAAAAAUGUCAUGUUUUAAGCCCACAGUUUCAUGAAUAUUAUUGAUUGAGGGCUAGGAUAAAGGAGAAGAGAGUUAAUUUAAGGUUGACAUAUGACUGUUUUUCUCUUUAAACUUGUGCUGCAGCAGACAGGCUGACAGCUUUCCUGGGGGCACCUCUCCUUUCCCCCCAGCUUACAGUGGUUGAUAAUUUCUGAGUUUCUUCAGCAUCUUCUGUUGGCUUUUCCACCACCUGUUGACAAAAAGCUCUGUAAGAGAUUCCCUUAUUAUAAAUACUUAAAGUGAUUUCUGUUUUCUUGAUUAGACCCUGCCUGACACAAGCGGGUAUCUUGACCAUAUUUUUAUAAAAGGGUAACAACACUGACGUUUGAUGAAGCUCAGCAACUUGCUCAGGAUCUUACAACAAGCAAGUGAUGGAACUAGAAUUAAAAUCUACCUCUGUUUGACUGAAGAGACUAUCUUCUUGAUUCCCGCUCUUCCGAAUACCUUAAUUGACUUCACACACUAGCUUGAAAUUAAUUGUUUGCAUACAUGGUCAAUAUGACCUAAAAAUCUACCUCUCCCCCAACAACAUUUCUUUACCAGCAAAUUAUUACCAACAUAUAAUUAUGAUUAUAAGCCACUGUAUUUCAGGAUGAGUUGUUAUGCUGUGAUAGGCAACUGAACAGAGGGUUUAAUAAAGAUAUUAUAUAGAGGGCUGACAAUACCAACAAGAGGUGGUACAGUAUCCUGGAGCUUCUAGUAACCAGGCUGCUACCACGCUGAGGCCUUAGGAGCACAAGGCUGUGGAGACAGGUUCACGUAGAGAGAAGCAGUGACCGCUGGUCAAGGGUUGCAGCCAGUGCAUGGUGUCCCUCAGGGAAACAACUGGGAGAAUAAAUGUCUUAACCUCAUUCCCCUCUUCCUUCAGAUCUCUGGUUGAGGGGCUCCACUUUGGCCAUUGGCCAAAUCCAACCAUCAGAGGAUGAUUAGACUUUAAUAAGUAGAGACACUGGAAGAGUUGGUAUGUUUAGGAGGAAAUACAUGCAGUGAAGAAGCAGGCUUUCAACAAGAAUGCUUUCCAAUAACUCUCACUAGACAACCCAGUGCUGUCAUUCUUAAUAACUCUCACUAGACAACCCAGUGCUGUCAUUCUCCUGUAAUCCUACCUGCACUGGCCAGACAGGGCACUGCCUGCUGUCACAUUCAACAUCUCUUUUUUGUGAACUGUCAACAGAGAGAACUAUAUUAGUUAGAGAACGCUAAUCCAUUAAAAGAUGCCAGAGAGGACUUUAUUAGCCAAGAUGUAAAACAUCCAGUGAAUUAAAUAAUGAAUUUUGGUUUCUCUCUCUUCCGGUUCUGUAUUGACAAAUCCUUCCCGUGAUCUUUCGUCCUUCUUCUCCAGCUACUUUUCUCAUCCACUCCUUCUUCUACCAGUAAUCUGUAUUGGUCAUCUCCAGUUUCUCACUAUACCCUCACUCUUUAAAUGCCUAAUGAACAUGGUGUUCCAGCAAGUAAAACUUCAUAAAUCACUGCACCUUUAAUUCCCUGAUGUACCUAAAUCCAUCUGAAUUCCUCUCCACCUUCUUUUCAUUUACUGUCUAGAUAAUAAAUGACAGCCAUCAGUAAAUUUACUAAUUUGGUUCUGUGUUCUUUUUAAGACAUGAUUAGAACUUAAGGCUUUGAUUCUGAAUGAGUUGAUAUGAAAUCUCAUUGGGAGACAUAAUACUAAAUAAUGCAUGGGGUUGGGUAAAAUUUUGAUCUCAUAGAAACCCUCUUUCUCCUUAAAUGACAAUCAUGAUCUUUUAUUUGUUAUUUAGUAUUCCAAAGGAAAUACAAAUUUUAAUCAAUUACUAAAUAUCUCCCCUAUUUUAAUGGUUCUUUUAUUCUCCUCAGAAUACAUCUUAUUUAGGAAACAUCUAAUACAUCAUUAGUGGUUUAGGCCAAAGAGAAGCCUGUUUAUAUAUUUGCAACAGAUGUCACAAAGGUCACAGAGGUUAAUAGACAUUCAUCUGCAUUUAUAAUACAGGAAGAAGGUUGUGGCUCAAAGAUAUAGGGGCAUAGAAGUUAACUAAGGGUAUGCAACUAACCAGCGGCAGAGAUGUAAUGACUUCCCUGCCUCGCCAGGAUUGCCCGUUCAAUAUUAUUUCAUAUUAGACUAGUUUUUUGUUGUUGUUGUCAAGAUAGUGUGGUUUUCUAGACCGAUAAAACAAACAGCUGUUUUGGUAAACUUAAAAAUGCUUCAAAAAGAAAUAUUUUUUCUAUAGAGGACACAGCAUUUGGCACACAGUAGGUAUUCACUAGUUAUUUGGGGAAUGAGUCAAUGACAGGAACCUUCCAGAUAAAUUCAAUCAGUUCUGCUUCCUUUUUCUUCAAGUCUUCAUUGUGCAAUGUUAUCCUCAGUUCAACCCUAAAUCUAUUUUCCCAGAAGCAGUGAGUGGUUUUCUACAAGUAUGCUAUUUCUGGGCUCUUGUUUGGCUCCACUAUCUUUUUUUUUUUUAAAGAGUUUUGACUUUCCAGAUUUGAGGAGCAGCUGCUUUUUUGAAUGAUAUACAGGACUACACGUGCCUUUUCUGCCUGUUUCUUUCCUCUGAACCCCACAGGGAUUGACAUCAAGGAUUGUAAUUAAUGGUAUUUGAGUAUUUCCCUUGCCCUUCUCCACACUUUUGUACUAUGCGUAUCUUUCUUUAGAAACAUCCGUCUUUAUCUAUGUCUUGGUUUCUCAUGUGUUUUUCUUUGCAAUUAGAAUCUCCUUAGAGAGCCCUCCUUACUACUCCUUUGCCCUAUUUCCUGUUAUUCUAUCAGUGAAUAUGAUUCCCUUA